GACAGAGGGUGCAAACGUUGUUCGGAAUUACUGGGCGUAAAGCGCGUGUAGGCGGCCCUGCAAGUCGGAUGUGAAAUCCCACGGCUCAACCGUGGAAGUGCAUUCGAAACUGCAGGGCUAGAGUCCUGGAGAGGAAGGUGGAAUGCUUGGUGUAGAGGUGAAAUUCGUAGAUAUCAAGCGGAACACCGGUGGCGAAGGCGGCCUUCUGGACAGUGGACUGACGCUGAGACGGCGAAAGCG
rnacentral:rRNA from 1 species